rnacentral:rRNA from 1 species
UACGUAGGGUGCGAGCGUUAAUCGGAAUUACUGGGCGUAAAGCGUGCGUAGGCGGUCCGCGAAGUCUGAUGUGAAAGCCCCGGGCUCAACCUGGGAACUGCAUUGGAAACUAACGGGCUCGAGUGUGGCAGAGGGGGGUGGAAUUCCACGUGUAGCAGUGAAAUGCGUAGAUAUCAAGAGGAACACCUGCGGCGAAGGCGGGUUGCUGGGCCGACACUGACGCUGAUGCGCGAAAGCUAGGGGAGCGAACGGG